UACGUAGGGGGCAAGCGUUGUCCGGAAUCAUUGGGCGUAAAGCGCGUGUAGGCGGCCCGGUAAGUCCGCUGUGAAAGUCCAGGGCUCAACCCUGGAAUGCCGGUGGAUACUGUCGGGCUCGAGUCCGGAAGAGGCGAGUGGAAUUCCUGGUGUAGCGGUGAAAUGCGCAGAUAUCAGGAGGAACACCAAUGGCGAAGGCAGCUCGCUGGGACGUGACUGACGCUGAGACGCGAAAGCGUGGGGAGCAAACAGG
rnacentral:rRNA from 1 species